rnacentral:lncRNA from 1 species
GGCAUGGUUGGUCAACUGAUAAGUUGUAUGGCUGAUUACAGGUAAAUCAGUAAUUUCUAUUUAACAGUUGUGUUUAUUCUGGGGUAUGAAUACCUUAAUUUUAUGGGGAACAUCCUGUCAAUGUGUAAUACUUAAUAUAUAUUCCAACAGAUGAUAUUACACAAAUGUUUCAUCUGUUAAUGAAUGAUUUGUAUAUCAUCAUAAU